rnacentral:rRNA from 1 species
UACGAAGGGGGCUAGCGUUGCUCGGAAUCACUGGGCGUAAAGCGCACGUAGGCGGCUUUUUAAGUCAGAGGUGAAAUCCUGGAGCUCAACUUCAGAACUGCCUUUGAUACUGGAGAGCUUGAGUCCGGGAGAGGUGAGUGGAACUGCGAGUGUAGAGGUGAAAUUCGUAGAUAUCGGGAGGAACACCAGUGGCGAAGGCGGCGACCUGGGCCAAUACUGACGCUGAGGUGGCGAAAAGCG